rnacentral:rRNA from 1 species
UACGUAGGGUGCAAGCGUUUGUCCGGAAUUAUUGGGCGUAAAGAGCUCGUAGGCGGUUUGUCGCGUCGGCUGUGAAAGCCCGGAGCUCAACUCCGGGUCUGCAGUCGAUACGGGCAUCACUUGAGUUCGGCAGGGGAGACUGGAAUUCCUGGUGUAGCGGUGAAAUGCGCAGAUAUCAGGAGGAACACCGGUGGCGAAGGCGGGUCUCUGGGCCGAUACUGACGCUGAGGAGCGAAAGCGUGGGGAGCGAACAGG